rnacentral:rRNA from 1 species
UACGGAGGGGGCUAGCGUUGUUCGGAAUUACUGGGCGUAAAGCGCACGUAGGCGGCUUUGCAAGCUAGAGGUGAAAGCCCGGGGCUCAACCCCGGAAUUGCCUUUAAAACUGCAUCGCUAGAAUUGUGGAGAGGUAAGUGGAAUUCCGAGUGUAGAGGUGAAAUUCGUAGAUAUUCGGAAGAACACCAGUGGCGAAGGCGACUUACUGGACACAUAUUGACGCUGAGGUGCGAAAGCGUGGGGAGCAAACAGG